rnacentral:tRNA from 1 species
GCGAAUAUAACUCAGCGGGUAGAGUAUAACUUUGCCAAAGUUAAUGUCGCGCGUUCAAAUCGCGUUAUUCGCU